GGGAAUUUUCCGCAAUGGGCGAAAGCCUGACGGAGCAAUACCGCGUGAGGGAUGACGGCCUAUGGGUUGUAAACCUCUUUUUUCAGGGAGGAAUCAAUGACGUGUACCUGAAGAAUAAGCAUCGGCUAACUCCGUGCCAGCAGCCGCGGUAAGACGGAGGAUGCAAGUGUUAUCCGGAAUCACUGGGCGUAAAGCGUCUGUAGGUGGUCCUGUAAGUCUGCUGUUAAAGCGUGAGGCUUAACCUCAUACAGGCGGUGGAAACUACAGGACUAGAGUACGUUCGGGGCAGAGGGAAUUCCUGGUGUAGCGGUGAAAUGCGUAGAGAUCAGGAAGAACACCGGUGGCGAAAGCGCUCUGCUAGGCCGUAACUGACACUGAGGGACGAAAGCUAGGGGAGCGAAAGGGAUUAGAUACCCCUGUAGUCA
rnacentral:rRNA from 1 species